GAUGAAGAACGUAGCGAAAUGCGAUAAGUAAUGUGAAUUGCAGAAUUCAGUGAAUCAUCGAAUCUUUGAACGCACAUUGCGCCCGCCAGCAUUCUGGCGGGCAUGCCUGUUCGAGCGUCAUUUCAACCCUCGAGCCCCCCCGGGGGCCUCGGUGUUGGGGGACGGCACACCAGCCGCCCCCGAAAUGCAGUGGCGACCUCGCCGCAGCCUCCCCUGCGUAGUAGCACACACCUCGCACCGGAGCGCGGAGACGGUCACGCCGUAAAACGCCCAACUUCUUAGAGAUGACCUCGGAUCAGGUAGGAAUACCCGCUGAACUUAAGCAUAUCAAUAAGCGGAGGA
rnacentral:misc_RNA from 1 species